UCGAGAAUCUUUCGCAAUGGGCGCAAGCCUGACGAAGCGACGCCGUGUGAGCGAAGAAGGCCUUCGGGUUGUAAAGCUCUUUCGCUAGGGAACAAGAGAUAUGGGACAAUACCCCAUAAAUUUGAUGGUACUUGGUAAAGAAGCACCGGCUAACUCCGUGCCAGCAGCCGCGGUAAUACGUAGGGACCAAGCGUUGUUCGGAUUUACUGGGCGUAAAGGGCGCGUAGGCGGCAAUUCAAGUCAUCUGUGAAAUCUCCGGGCUUAACUCGGAACGGUCAGAUGAUACUGCUUUGCUAGAGUGCAGAAGGGGCAAUCGGAAUUCUUGGUGUAGCGGUGAAAUGCGUAGAUAUCAAGAGGAACACCUGAGGUGAAGACGGGUUGCUGGGCUGACACUGACGCUGAGGCGCGAAAGCCAGGGGAGCAAACGGGAUUAGAUACCCCCGUAGUCCCUGAGCGGGCUGGCAAGGCGCAU
rnacentral:rRNA from 1 species